CAGUCUGACACGCCAGAGCGAAUUCUGAAAGCACCCGUCAAGUAGCUAACUACUGUUAGCUGGCUAACGUAAACAAAACUCUGGGUUAGCGAACAUGUUGAUCAUUCACAACUGUUUAAACAAUUCCAGUAACAGCUAUAUUAGUUGUUGUGCUGUAUUGGACGCAGCUUGGCAUAACGUCAGGUCAUAACGUUACAUUGGUUAACUCCACCGCUGUUUGGAAGCUUGCUGCUCUGAAAACUAACGUUAGCUAAUACGUAAAUUGCAAGCGUUGGGAGAUGACCAAUCACAAGCAAGGACAACACUAUGGGACUCGAGUAGGACAAACCAUUCUAUAGCCAGGUUGCGCUGCAGCACACCAGCAGCAUGAGCGAAGUUUGGAUGUGAUCUCUCUCCAUGCUCACACCACAUGCACGGUCUCAGGACUCAUGCCGCACUCCUGCCGCUCGUACACAGGUUGCUGGCUUGGACUCAGAUCACAGGCACUGCAUCAUAUACCAGCAGAACCUGUUGGACCAACACCAGACUGUUGUGGCAUUAUUUUCCUUCUUUGAUGGGCAGAAUUGGCAUCUCCUCCUCUUGCGUGCCCCAGCUGCAGCCUCAGGUGGAUCAGGACAAGAUUCAGCCCCCUGAACAGCUUUCACAAGUGCCGCUGCAAAGGCUGCUGUGCGGCAGAGGCGUUCUCUUCUUCGGUUACAAGUGCCUUUCCCAGCUGCUCCAGGAACACCCACCUCUUGAUCCGCUUAUCAGGCAUCCAGUCCAGAAUGAUGGCUGGCUUCCUCUCCUCAUGAUCACUGAUCUCCGCCGUUUUGUGCAGUGUGCUCAGGAGGACCACAUUCUUGUUCCUUUUUGGGAGGUUUCUGUGCCAAUGCACCAUACAACCAAUAAUCAAAGCAUACCGACAUCCGGCGAUUCAAUAUCACAGUUUCGACCCUGCAGGCCCAAGCAUGGAUCAAAGCUGGCGAGACAUUUAAUGACGUCGUCUUCACAGACUAAGCAACCGUGACCCUUGAGCAAUUUGCUCAAAAUUGCUACAGGAAAAAAGGAAGAUCAAGCAAGCAGAGUCCCAAGCAUCCGCUCAAACUCCAUGUGUGGGUGGCAAUGUCUCGCCAGGGACAGGGCCCAUAUUUGAUUUUUGUUGGUAAGUUUAUCUAUUUAGAAAGCAAAAGGUAUAUAAAAUAUUGUAGCCUACACCUCACGGACUGUUAUGUGUUCCACAAUAAUUCACUCUUGCCUCCUUUUUCAGGUAUCAUGCCUCGAGAUUUCUUUGAGGAAGAAAUCAUCAAGCAAUAUGCUUGACCCUAUGUCAGAGAGGUGUUUCUGGGACCACAUUGCUUCUUUCAAGACAAUGACCCAAAACACCCUGCCGCCUGUGUUUGCAUUGCAAAUGAGGGCAUAAACUGGGUCAAGACGCCAGCAGAGUCUCCUGAUUUAAGCCAAAUCGAACUUGUUUGGCAUCAACUGAAAACAUUUAUCCUUAACUAUGCCAAGCCGACAAGCAAAGAUGAGCUGGUCAAGGCCAUCAAGAUGUUUUGGCUAGAGAAAUUGACGAUACGACAAUGCAACAAAUACAUUGAUCAUCUCAGCAAGGUAUUACCGUGGCCGUGGAGCUGGGUGGAAGUGCGACUAAAAUGUAAUUUAAAUUAACAUCUGCAUUUGAAUGUAUUUUUCUUGUUAUUUUAUUAACGAAAGCAUAAAGAUGUUGAUGAAGAAAUACUGUACUGUUGUUUUGAGUUGGGAAUGUAACACUUUAGAGUACUUCGAGUACAUCGAAUACAUUGCAAGUUGAGGGAUUUUCACAACAGUAGCCAGGCUAUAAAAAGGAUAUUGUCCUGCUAAUAGGAAACGUUUGCAUGAUGGGCUAAACCUGCAACAGUUGUGAAAAACAACCUGUUUUCAAAAUGCCUCCAGUUGUCCAUCACUACUGUAAAUAAAAAUACAGCAUCUUGUUUA